rnacentral:rRNA from 1 species
AACGAACGCUGGCGGCAUGCCUAACACAUGCAAGUCGAACGAGACCUUCGGGUCUAGUGGCGCACGGGUGCGUAACGCGUGGGAAUCUGCCCUUGGGUUCGGAAUAACAGUUAGAAAUGACUGCUAAUACCGGAUAAUGUCUUCGGACCAAAGAUUUAUCGCCCAGGGAUGAGCCCGCGUAGGAUUAGCUAGUUGGUGAGGUAAAGGCUCACCAAGGCGACGAUCCUUAGCUGGUCUGAGAGGAUGAUCAGCCACACUGGGACUGAGACACGGCCCAGACUCCUACGGGAGGCAGCAGUGGGGAAUAUUGGACAAUGGCGAAAGCCUGAUCCAGCAAUGCCGCGUGAGUGAUGAAGGCCUUAGGGUUGUAAAGCUCUUUUACCCGGGAUGAUAAUGACAGUACCGGGAGAAUAAGCCCCGGCUAACUCCGUGCCAGCAGCCGCGGUAAU